UGUCUUUGGUAGACUCUUUCCAUUUACAGCACUAUGUUGGCAAAGGAAGUCUCUUUCGUUAAUUUUUAGGAAAGAAACACAUAAUUGACAUGGACGUAUAAAUUAAUUCACGGUACCAAAUGCCCUGAAUUUUAUUGAUAUAACCAAGACACUAUUACAUAUUAAGAUCCGGACAAAGUCCAUAUCCAUAA